UUUUUUUUCUCUCGAUGCCGGUGAAGAUUUUGCAGGGGAACCCAAAACUUAAACAGCCAAUGCAUAGUCAUCGGGUUUCAUCGAAUACGCGGGAAGACUUAACGGUAAUUUCACCGCCUCGUAUGCCGGUAAUACACCACUUCGAACAGUGCUUGUAAAUCUUGGGAAGGUAAAGUUGUUGAGUGUACAUCCGUACACUAAAAUGAUCCUGAAAACGCAUAUCAAAGUAUCCCGCCUUCCACCUUCGAUAAUGGAGGAGACCGUGACAAGAUCAUCCGUUCACUGUAGGUACUAUUAGACGAAUAUUGUUCUUAUUGACUGCUAUUAAUGAAUUCCUCAAUUAUUUUGAAGGACGUAGAGAAUCUAUA